AGGAAACGACACAGAUUAGAGAGGUUAAAGGUUUAAAUGAUGAAUCAAAACUGUACAUUUUUGAAGCCAUCUGUGAAACACCAUGGAGGCUCUGUUAGUUUUUGGAGUUGCGUGUCAGUCAGUGUUGUUGAUCUUGUCUGAAUGGAUGAAAUUAUGAACACAGAGGAGAUCAGAUUUUGAUCCACCAUGAAAGAAUCUGAUCGGUAACAUCAUCAUUUUUCAGGCAAUGAUCCUGAUCUUAAUAGAAAAACACACGAGGGGAGGCCGGUCCGUGACUGAUACCCACACGGCUUCAGCAUUAAUGAUCAUUUCCAUGUAAAUGUGAAGCGAUUCAGACAGUUUCCUCCUGCUCACUGGGACAGGAAGUACAACCCUUUUUAAGACUAGCAGGAAAACCUCGGGCUCGUGUGUGACAGCGUUGCGUUUACUCGCUCCUUCUUCUGACGGAUUUUCUAGUUUAUAAAGUUUCGUUUUACCUCAGCCCUUAAAGAGAUGGUAGAAACAACUUCCGAGCGAAAACUCUGCAUUGUUAGAAGGUUUAACGAGGAUAUCCAGACGACUUAGAAGAAGUAGGACCGGGAGAGGACCAGGCCUCUGCUCUGCUUUAGAAGGUUCCGGAAAACCCCGCCCCCUUCUCUGACGUCAACCCCCCCGUGCGGGACUCUUCAGAAGAGCGAUCAGCUGCAGUCUGCUCAGCAGUGAGAAAAGAAGACGUCAGUGAUGGACGAAUCAUCGUCAAAGAGAAGAACAACAAAGACGAGAGACGUACAAAGAUGAUCCACCAGUGCUGCCCAGUUUGAGGACAUUUCCAGUCACAUUAAUGGGGGACAGGAGACGCAGCUUCCAUCAAAGCUGGUAUGAAAGUCAUCGUUGGAUUCUCUGUAAUUAUGGACUCUGCCUGUUUCAGGCCACCAAAUAUGUCAGACGUGGAUUUUAAACAUUGUGCACAUGCACAGUAUGUGAAACCUUUACUUUGAAAUUCAUUUGGAUAUUUAUUUUUGAUUUUAUGUUAGUGCCUAAAAUAUUUUCAAUUAAUAUAUAAAACAAUGAAAUAUUGCUCUCCUUGUUUUGUUCGGUAACCCUGGGUGUGGGAGGUGGAAUACUAUACAGCAAUACUGAGACUGAAGUAAAGGUAUGAGGAAGAGCAGUAUGUGAAACCUUUACUUUGAAAUUCUUUUGGAUCUUUAUAUAAAUGAGUGAAAAUAAAUUCACUUAAUAUAUUAAACAUUUAAAUAUUAGCCUGCGGUUAGUUUGGUCUGGAUCUGCCACUGCCCCGUGAUAAUCGUGGAAUACUGAGACUGAAGUAAAAGUAUAAGGAAGAGGGGAAAAACAUUAACAUUUCUCUUUUUAUAUAAACUGUGUGAGGAUGGAGGAAUUUUCCUCAUCCUCACUCUCCAGGAAGUGUCAGCAGACAGUCAGAUUCAUGAUUUCAUGUGUUUAAUCUUGUGGUUAAAACGUGUCAAACACAAAGCUUCACGUCUCUGUGGAUGUUGUGAUCUGAAACUUUGUCAUUUACUACAAAUGCAUCAGCAGAAAAUUGCAGUUACUUCAUCCACAAUAAAGACAUCACACAGGUUAACUUCAGCCACAAACUAAAAGCAGGAGGAACAAUUUCACUUUCACAACUGUCUUUAUGUAAAAUGUGUUUCAGAUCUCCUGAACAGACUGUGAGCAUUACAAAACUGACAGUAAAUGCAUCACAGAGGCAUCUGUUUACAUUAAAGUGCCCCCUGGUUGUGGUCAUUUGAAUAAAGUCUGAAUUUUAAUGAGAAGCUGAUUAAAAAACAGAGAAACUGA